rnacentral:rRNA from 1 species
UACGGAGGAGGCAAGCGGUAUCCGGUAUUAUUGGGCGUAAAGCGUCCGUAGGUGGUUGGCCAAGUCUGCUGUCAAAGGGUGGGGCUUAACCUCAUAAAGGCAGUGGAAACUGGCGAGCUAGAGUGCGGUAGGGGUAGGGGGAAUUCCCAGUGUAGCGGUGAAAUGCGUAGAGACUGGGAAGAACAUCGGUGGCGAAAGCGCCCUGCUGGGCCUGCACUGACACUGAGGGACGAAAGCUAGGGGAGCGAAUGGG